rnacentral:rRNA from 1 species
AAAUAGAUACCCGGGUAGUCCACGCCGUAAACGAUGAGUGCUAAGUGUUGGGGGGUUUCCGCCCCUCAGUGCUGCAGCUAACGCAUUAAGCACUCCGCCUGGGGAGUACGGUCGCAAGACUGAAACUCAAAGGAAUUGACGGGGGGCCCGCACAAGCGGUGGAGCAUGUGGUUUAAUUCGAAGCAACGCGAAGAACCUUACCAGGUCUUGACAUCCCGGUGACCACUAUGGAGACAUAGUUUCCCCUUCGGGGGCAACGGUGACAGGUGGUGCAUGGUUGUCGUCAGCUCGUGUCGUGAGAUGUUGGGUUAAGUCCCGCAACGAGCGCAACCCUUAUUCUUAGUUGCCAUCAUUCAGUUGGGCACUCUAAGGAGACUGCCGGUGAUAAACCGGAGGAAGUGGGGAUGACGUCAAAUCAUCAUGCCCCUUAUGACCUGGGCUACACACGUGCUACAAUGGACGGUACAAACGGUUGCCAACCCGCGAGGGGGAGCUAAUCCGAUAAAACCGUUCUCAGUUCGGAUUGUAGGCUGCAACUCGCCUACA